CUCGUGCCCUAAGCCGCCGACGUCGUCUCCUUCUUCUUCUUCUUCUUCUAUUUCUUCCUCUUCCCUUUCUCACUGCCAACCGUCUUACCGUUUCUCCCCAAACCACCUCGCGCCGGUUUCUUUCUCCCCUGCGUACAAAAGACCAUCGCCCAAGGGAAGCACCAUUCCUCUUCCCUUCUCUUGAUUUCCACUCAUCUUCUUCACUUGUCUCCUCUCGCCACCGGCCACUGUGGUCGUCGAUCCGACAGAUCCUCAUGCCCUAGUGUCGCUGUCGGCCACUGCGGACCCACGGCCGAUCAUCGCCAACCUGAAACCGACACCGUCGACUCCUCCACUCGGCCGAUUGCCGGAUGCCAACGCCUGCCUCCUACUGACGAUGACCUCUCCUUUUCUCUGGAGGCCAAAUCGGUGACGCAGCCGACCACCCACGUCUGUUGGUCGUGCCCUAGGGCUUUUUCCCCUUCUGAUUUUUCACUGCCGGCCAAGGGUUAACUGCUCUCCUCUGUGACGACCACUGGACUUGGAGUUCUCUCAGGCCACCGAUCUUUUCUCUUCGGGUCAUGGACAGAAGUAGAGCAUCCGAGCCGUUUCCUCUGUGCCCUAGCAUCAAUUGUCGAUUCUUAUUUUACCUUCUCUCUGGUCGUGGGGAUUUUGAAGGUAGGUACUCUUUCUAGUUUGUUAUUUGGGGAUCUAAUCUCUGAAUGGUACUGGUCAGGGGUGAUUGUUUGAGGAAACAGUGCUGCGAUUGCCUCUGGUCAACAUUAUCGUAGACAGAAGAUAGCUUCCUUCGCCAGAUCCUUGAUCACACCGUUAAUUGGAGAGUAAGCUGCAGAUCUAGAUUUGGCAGGUAAAAAGGGAUAAAGUAGCAGUACACCUCUGUUGAUAGCUGCAAAUUACUAUCAGCCACCUUCGAAUUGGGUUAAGGAAUUGCAUUCUAUUUGGGUAACAUUAUCUAAGUGGAUCCUUCUGUUCAAUUUAAGAAAUUAAAUGUAGUUGAGGUAAGGUAUGGAUGAUUAAAUGGAAUUAAAAUAUAGUUUUCUAAUUGGAUUA